rnacentral:rRNA from 1 species
AUGCAGUCGAGCGACGGACGAGAGUGCUUGCACUCUCUGAUGUUAGCGGCGGACGGGUGAGUAACACGUGGGUAACCUACCUAUAAGACUGGGAUAACUUCGGGAAACCGGAGCUAAUACCGGAUAAUAUUUAGCUUCGCAUGAAGCAAUAGUGAAAGACGGUUCUGCUGUCACUUAUAGAUGGACCCGCGGUGUAUUAGCUAGUUGGUGAGGUAACGGCUCACCAAGGCAACGAUACAUAGCCGACCUGAGAGGGUGAUCGGCCACACUGGGACUGAGACACGGCCCAGACUCCUACGGGAGGCAGCAGUAGGGAAUCUUCCGCAAUGGACGAAAGUCUGACGGAGCAACGCCGCGUGAGUGAAGAAGGUUUUCGGAUCGUAAAACUCUGUUGUAAGGGAAGAACAAGUACGUUAGUAACUGAACGUACCUUGACGGUACCUUACCAGAAAGCCACGGCUAACUACGUGCCAGCAGCCGCGGUAAUACGUAGGUGGCAAGCGUUAUCCGGAAUUAUUGGGCGUAAAGCGCGCGUAGGCGGUCUCUUAAGUCUGAUGUGAAAGCCCCCGGCUCAACCGGGGAGGGUCAUUGGAA